rnacentral:lncRNA from 1 species
AAAGUCCUAGACAGAGACGAAAGUCUCUUUUCGGGGGCAACUUCGGCAGCCAAAAGGCCUGCCUCCCCAGCCAUGUUCGGCGGCCGAAAGUUCCUUCGGCUGCCGAACCUGGUUUCUGCCAAAGGGCAGAAACUUGGCUCCUUUAAGCGCAUUUGCCUCCAAAACUUCCAAUCAUGCAUUUAGCUCAACCAAAACAUGCAAAUAUACAUACAUUGGCUCCUAGGGGCUUCAAACUAA